UAAGAUCCAGUUGUCUCAACAUCAUGUGAUAUCAACUGUGACCACUCAUGGCAGCUCAGCUGAGAUGGACAUGUCGAAGAUAUCCACGAGUUCUUCAAGACUUCUUUCCAUGUGGUGUUCUCUUAUCAUUAGAAACGUAUAGCCAGAGCUCCUUAAAAGGCAGCAGGAUGCUAAUAAAACUCCCCACGUGGAUACACUUCAUUGGAAUGUGUAUGCCUCUCUGCCUAUUGAAAUCCUACACAUCCUUCAAGAUGUUGAGAUAUUAAGUAUUGAGCAAAGUGAUAAAGGUCUGAUUGCCACCAGGAACUCUCAGUCCAUUCCCCCAUUCCACUGCAUUGAUUUUGCAACCAAAGCUCCUCUCUUAUAAGAGAAUGAAAACAGUUAUGGAGGAAAGGAGGAUACAGAGGAGCUGCCUGCAUUAAUGUGUGUAUCCAACUUAGUCAGCCAAAACCAGCCCAUUACACCUGCAUUAUCUUGCUAUUCUAAACAACAAAUACAA